UUAGCUCAGUCGGUAGAGCGCAUGACUGUUAAUCAUGAUGUCGCUGGUUCGAGCCCAGCCAU
rnacentral:tRNA from 1 species